GACGAACGCUGGCGGCGUGCUUAACACAUGCAAGUCGAACGGUGAAGCGCCUUCCUUUUUGGUGGGUGUGGAUGAGUGGCGAACGGGUGAGUAACACGUGAGUAACCUGCCCCCUUCUUCUGGAUAACCGCAUGAAAGUGUGGCUAAUACGGGAUAUUCUGGGUCUGUCGCAUGAUGGGUCUGGGAAAGAUAUUGUUUCGGUGGGGGAUGGGCUCGCGGCCUAUCAGCUUGUUGGUGGGGUGAUGGCCUACCAAGGCGGUGACGGGUAGCCGGCCUGAGAGGGUGGACGGCCACACUGGGACUGAGACACGGCCCAGACUCCUACGGGAGGCAGCAGUGGGGAAUAUUGCACAAUGGGCGCAAGCCUGAUGCAGCGACGCCGCGUGAGGGAUGGAGGCCUUCGGGUUGUGAACCUCUUUCGCCAGUGAAGCAGGCCUGCCUCGUUUGUGGGUGGGUUGACGGUAGCCGGAUAAGAAGCGCCGGCUAACUACGUG
rnacentral:rRNA from 1 species